rnacentral:rRNA from 1 species
GAUGAACGCUAGCGGCAGGCUUAACACAUGCAAGUCGAGGGGCAGCGCGAUGUAGCAAUACAUUGGCGGCGACCGGCGCACGGGUGCGUAACACGUAUGGAACUUACCCUUUACUGGGAGAUAGCCCGGAGAAAUCCGGAUUAAUAUCCCAUAAUAAACGAAGUGGCAUCACUUUGUUUUGAAAGCUCCGGCGGUAAAGGAUGGCCAUGCGCACGAUUAGCUAGUAGGUGAGGUAACGGCUCACCUAGGCUACGAUCGUUAGGGGGCCUGAGAGGGUUAUCCCCCACACUGGUACUGAGACACGGACCAGACUCCUACGGGAGGCAGCAGUGAGGAAUAUUGCGCAAUGGAGGCAACUCUGACGCAGCCAUGCCGCGUGCAGGAAGAAGGCGCUACGCGUUGUAAACUGCUUUUAACCGGGAAGAAACCCUCCGACGUGUCGGAGGUUGACGGUACCGGAGGAAUAAGCACCGGCUAACUUCGUG